rnacentral:rRNA from 1 species
CCGGGCUAGAAAAGUACGGAACCCUUUAGAAAUAUCGGGGUGCUCGCAAGAGAGCCGUAAUCCAGGUGCUGCAUGGCUGUCGUCAGCUCGUGUCGUGAGAUGUUGGGUUAAGUCCCGCAACGAGCGCAACCCUUGUCCUUAGUUGCCAUCAUUUAGUUGGGCACUCUAAGGAGACUGCCGGCGUCAAGCCGGAGGAAGGUGGGGAUGACGUCAAGUCCUCAUGGCCCUUAUGUCCGGGGCUACACACGUGCUACAAUGGUCGGUACAGAACGUCGCGUACCCGCGAGGGGAAGCCAAUCGGCAAAAGCCGACCUCAGUACGGAUUGCAGUCUGCAACUCGACUGCAUGAAGCCGGAAUUGCUAGUAAUCGCUGAUCAGCAGGCAGCGGUGAAUA